UAGUACCUACCAAAAAUUGAUCCAAAGGAGGGGAACGGGACACACAAUUCUAUUGGAUCCUAACCAUCAAUUCUAGACUUUAGAAUUUUUGGUUCCAAAAACUCCAACUCUCUCAAGAAAACCCCACACAUUUUCUCGGUUCCUUUUUCACUCACUCUCACAAUACAACCCCAAACAACACAAAAAAAACAGCCAACUCCGCUAACUCUCUCGAACUCUCCCUUUUUUCUCACACACACAAGUUUCUUUCACAAACUAAGCAAACAAAGGAAACAAAAGGAAGGUUACGGCUUGAAAAACUUUAUCAAAAUGUGAACCGAGGAACUACCACUUUCAUUGAGGUAUUUUCUAGCUUUUUAAUCAUAUUACAUGCAUGUUUCAUUGCUUAUUUUUCUCUUGCUUUUGCUGGUUUGUUGUUGUGAUUUUGGACAAGUCAUAGAACAAGAUUAAGGGAAGAUAAAUGGGUUUUGUUUAUGUAUAUAAAUUGUUUGAACAAAUGCCAAAAGAAAAAACCAAAUUAAGUUAGGUUGUUUCUUAUUCAUUUAAAGUCAUAGUUGCACUUUAGAAUUCGCAAGGGUUGUUUUCGUGUGAAUUUUACAAAUUGUAGAGGUGAUUAGAGUGGUUAAAAAAAAACUGGGCUGUUUUUCAACAAUUUAGUCACUUUUGGUUCAUUUUUUGUAAAAAUUAAGGCUGGAAACUGAUUCUGUGCAAAAAAUCAAGUGGGGAGGUAUUUUGGUGAACUUUCGUGAUCGAAGAGAUCGCCAGCGGCCCGCGAUGGCGGCGCCGCCAGCUCUGAGGCUUCAAUCUGUCGAAGAAGAUCAAAGAAAGGAAAGAAGAAGAAGAGAAAGGAAAGAAAGAAAAAGAAAGAAAAAGAAAAGAAAGAAAAAAGAGGGAAAAGAGAAAAAAUAAAGGGUUGGGUUUUUAUCUAUUUGUAGUUGAGUUUAAGAGUGGGCUGGUAUUGUUUUUUUUACUUUGGGUUUCACUGGGCUUUAGAGUUAAGCCAAAUAUUUUUAUAAUAUCUAAGUUUGUUUAAAUUUCUUUAGGUUUGUUUUUUUUUUUUUUGGAUUAGAUUGCAUCAAUUUAUUUGGGCCGAAGUGUUGUAGCCCAAAAUACAUAAAAAUAGCCCAAUGUUUGUUUUUUGUGAAAUUAGAAUCCAAAAUUUGCAAUUCGGUCCUUAUUUUUCAAGUAAUUUCACUGUGGCUCUAAACUUUUGAAUUUCUUUCACUUAGAUCCUUAAUUUAAUUGUACUUUGGUCCUUAAACUUUAUCUUUUAUUCAAUUUUGACCCCUAAUUUUUUCAAUAAUUAUAAUUUGACCUCAACAACUUUUCAAAUUUUGCAAUUAGGGCCCUAAGCUUGAUUAUUUCUUAAUUACAGUUGCUUAUCUUCUUUAAUUGUUAAUCAUGCUUCAUUUAAAUAUAUUUAAUUUACAAAUUUUAGGGAUUUUAUGUUUAUAUUUUUUUAUAAUAAUAAAGUGAAUUUGCUAUAUGUUUACAUUUUCUUUUAAAUUAUUGUUUAAAUUGGUGCCUUGACUACUUUAUUGGUUUUGGAGUAUAAAGAGGGUGAUUCUACCUCAUUUAACCACUACUUCAAGGAAGGCAUUUUCUAUUAUUAUUUUAAGUUUCUUUGAUGUGCUCCUAUGUAUUUUUUAUGUGUGAUUGCAUAUUUUGAGUGUUUUUCUUUUAUUUACUCAUCUUAUUCAUUUAAAAUUUUUAUUUAUUUUAUUCAAUUUUUUAUGGUUAUUUGGGAGAUAUUUAAAUACCAAAUUGUAAUAGAUAGGUGUCUAAGAAAUAUAUUUAGUUAGGCAAUGUUAUAGAUAGAUUUUAUUUUUGCCAAGAUUGUAAUUGUUUAGAUAAAUGUAAUAAAUAGGUUUAUGAUUUCCAAAAAUUCCCCUUCUAGAUUGUACGUAGGGCUCCCAAUGUAAUAGUUAAUUUUUAUUUGCUUGUAUGCUCAUGUGCUCAUGUGUUUAUUUGUUUAUUCGCUUUCUUUAGGGUUUUUGCAUCUAGAUAUUAUGCCUAUGUGUUAUGUGUCUUAUUUGUUUUAUGUCUUUAUUUGAUUUAAUUAUGUUCUAUAUGUUUUAUUUAUUUAUAAUAAAUGCAUGACGACAUCAUACUAGUCCAAUACUAGUUGCAACC
rnacentral:lncRNA from 1 species